CUGGGUGGGAGAUGUAAAGAAUGCUGAUCAUAGAAGAAGAAAAAAAAACCCAAAAUCCAAGAGGCCAAGUUUUACAGUGUUAAGAAUGCGUCACAGAUUGUGAGGUGCUGGAAUCUGGCUGCUCCACCCUCCUUUUUGAGGGUAGCACCUGCCUGAGCCAGACAGGAAAAGGUCCAAGUCAGAGCCACCAGGGUAAUGGCUCCAAAGCAGAGGCAGAGGACAGCUGAAUACCCCGAAUAAAGACCCUCUCUGUAGACCAGAUUUGUCCCAGGGUGUAGAAGAGAACUUCACGGUCAGGUAAGGAUUGACCCCUCCAUCCCAUCUGUAGCAGUUUGAAUGAGCAAAGCCCUACAGGCUUAGGUGUUAGGACAUUUGUUCCCAGUUUGUGGCCAUGUUUGGAGAGGUUAUGGAACCUUUAGGAAUUGGAGCCCUGUUGGAGGAAGUGCAUCACUUGAGGUAGACUUUAAGAGUAUACAGCCUCACUCCACAUGCAAUUCUCUCUCUGAUUCAUGUCUGUGGUUGAAAAAUAAGACCCUCAGGCUUCUUGGCUCUGCCCCAUGGUCCUGCCAUUAUAAACUAGCCUUCUCUAAUCUUUUUCUUUUUUCUUUUCAGAGAUAGGGCUUCUCUGUGUAACAGCCCUGGCUGUCUUGGAACUCACUUUGUAGACCAGGUUGGCCUCAGACUCACAGAGAUCCACCUGCCUCUGCCUCUUGGGUUCUAGGACUAAAGGCAUGUGUAUCCAUCACCCAGCAGCCCUCUAUUAGUAAGCCAAAAUAAACACUUUCUUCUAUAAUU
rnacentral:lncRNA from 1 species